rnacentral:rRNA from 1 species
UACGUAGGGGGCAAGCGUUGUCCGGAAUUAUUGGGCGUAAAGAGCGCGUAGGCGGUCCGAUAAGUUCGGCUGUGAAAGUCAAGGGCUCAACCCUUGAAAGCCGGACCGAUACUGUCGGACUAGAGUCCGGAAGAGGCGAGUGGAAUUCCCGGUGUAGGCGGUGGAAAUGCGUAGAGAUCAUGAGGAAGACCAGUGGCGAAGGCGGGUCUCUGGACAGUUCCUGACACUGAGGCACGAAGGCCAGGGGAGCAAACGGG